rnacentral:rRNA from 1 species
GACGAACGCUGGCGGCGUGCUUAACACAUGCAAGUCGAACGGAAAGGCCCUGCUUUUGUGGGGUGCUCGAGUGGCGAACGGGUGAGUAACACGUGAGUAACCUGCCCUUGACUUUGGGAUAACUUCAGGAGACUGGGGCUAAUACCGGAGAGGAGCUCCUGCAGCAUGGUGGGGGUUGGAAAGUUUCGGCGGUUGGGGAUGGACUCGCGGCUUAUCAGCUUGUUGGUGGGGUAGUGGCGUACCAGGGCUUUGACGGGUAGCAGGCCUGGGAGGGUGACCGGCCACAUUGGGACUGCGAUACGGCGCAGAAGCGUACGGGAGGCAGCAGUGGGGAAUCUUACAGAAUGGGCGGAAGCGUGAUGCAGCAACGCCGCGUGCGGGAUGACGGCUUUCGGGUUGUAAACCGCUUUCGCCUGUGACGAAGCGUGAGUGACGGUAAUGGGUAAAGAAGCACCGGCUAACUACGUG